rnacentral:rRNA from 1 species
GAUGAACGCUGGCGGCGUGCCUAAUACAUGCAAGUCGAGCGAACAGACGAGGAGCUUGCUCCUCUGACGUUAGCGGCGGACGGGUGGGUAACACGUGGAUAACCUACCUAUAAGACUGGGAUAACUUCGGGAAACUGGAGCUAAUACCGGAUAAUAUAUUGAACCGCAUGGUUCAAUAGUGAAAGACGGUUUUGCUGUCACUUAUAGAUGGAUCCGCGCCGCAUUAGCUAGUUGGUAAGGUAACGGCUUACCAAGGCGACGAUGCGUAGCCGACCUGAGAGGGUGAUCGGCCACACUGGAACUGAGACACGGUCCAGACUCCUACGGGAGGCAGCAGUAGGGAAUCUUCCGCAAUGGGCGAAAGCCUGACGGAGCAACGCCGCGUGAGUGAUGAAGGUCUUCGGAUCGUAAAACUCUGUUAUUAGGGAAGAACAAAUGUGUAAGUAACUAUGCACGUCUUGACGGUACCUAAUCAGAAAGCCACGGCUAACUACGUG